AACUAUGGGCCGACCAGAGGCUUUGAAGUGGAUGUUGGUACCAAAACAACUCAUCGUGUCAUGUAUCCAGAGACUGCUAGCUUAUUGGACCACACCACUCACCUUGUGUUUUUUCCAUUCAAGAUGGAGGAUUUUUUGUGGCUCCUUGAGAACGUUGGAGAAAAUGGUGAUAUAAACAAACAGAGCCUAGCCAACAAGAAUUUGGUGAUGAUCCUCAAUCCGGCUUUCAUGAAACACGUUCAUCAAGUUUGGUUACUAAAGAAGGGUGCUUAUCCAUCUACUGGCUUCAUGGCUUUGGCUUUGAGCUUGAUGAUUUGUGAUGAGGUAGGAUAAC